ACCUUCUCCUCCUUCCAACGUAGGAAAGAAGAGAGAAAAGAUCGAUUCCUUCCGCCAAUCCCCGCCGGCCACAGCUAGCUUUCCCUUCUGGCCCCUUUCCGUCACCAAUCGAGGUGCCCACUCUGACCCGACAGUCAGCCAAUCGGGAGGGUGAUAGCAUCCCGCCUUUGCUUUCGUUCGUGGAGGCAAGUAUCAGUCGGAAUUUUGAGGUGCCAGCAGUGCCGCCCAUCUUUGGCAGAUCGCGGUGCCUUAAAGGAGAUAGCGGGACGCUUGUGUGUGAUCGACUUCAUCACCUCCAUGGUAGCUACGUUUUCGGCGGACACAACAUCUUUGUUUGUAUGUGGUGCUGAGGAUCAAACCCGGGCUGCACGAAUGCCAGGCGAGCGCGCUACCGCUUGAGCCACAUCCCCAGCCCCAGUUGGGGUUCUUCUAUCCUUGGUAAACCAACAUCUUGCUCCCAGGAAAUCUUGUGGAUUCACAGCUGUAUACACGUCAAACAUCAAAUCCACCAUGCGGCCUGCGCAUUGGUUUCAUUAAUGAGGUUCUUGGCACAAAAGUUAGCUAGCAGAGAUGGAAAUAAACACACAGACUCAGUUACCUUUUUCUAUGACCAGGUCCGAGACGGCUCCCCUCUCUGGCUCCAACCUCGAACCACCCGUAGGGCAGCAAGGAUUACUCAGGGCUAGCAGGAGAGAGAGAGAGAGCACGCCAGGGAGUAGCCUUUUAUUGGGGAACAAGAAAUUCAGGGGAGAAUUCCAUCCAAUGAAGGUUGAGGGGGGGGCCGCACUCCAAGGUCAGGGUCAGUGAUUGGGCCCCCGGGGUCAGUGGUCAGUAACACCCCCACACAGACGGGUUCUCUCAUCAGGAGAGGGCCGGGAAAAUUCCAACACAGCCAGAAGCCUCAGGCCCAAACCGGGAGUCACCCAGUCACGCGUGAGAAUGGCUCUCCACAAUCAAAUAUAUUGUAUGUCAAUUGUACCUUAAUAAAGCUGGACAUGUGCUUUUGAUUCUCCUCUUGGGUAAGCAGGGAGGAGUAGAAUGGCUUAGGUUAUAAUCCUGGCACCAUGAGAGUCUAAUGAAGAAUGGUGCCUCUGUGUGUGUGUGUAUGUGUGUGUGUGUCUGUCUGUCCCAAUGGGAGGAUGUCAACCUUCAAUAAAGCCCUGCACUCUUUACAGCACAGGGCCUCACUCUGCUGUCUAAUUUGUGGCUGAUUUUCCUGAAUCCAGAGACUGACUGGUUCAGCCCCUAAAGAGACUCAACAUUCAUGAAGCCUUCUGCAGGAUUAGGGGAGCCACAGUGCUGGUAAGGAUGGGAGAGGUCUAGGGGCCUAACUCCUGGCUGCUCCUAAUCCAGACUUUGAACAAAUCCUGCUACCUUUGGCAUCUCUGUGCCCAUGUGGGAUAGACCCCUCACUUCCAGGUCCUGAUCUUUCCUGGGUCCUGCAGUACAAAUUGUUAAGUGCCCCUAGGUUUCUUUUGAAACUCUGCAGGCUCAGGCUUAGCUUUCCCUGUUCUGCCACAGCAGAGUUUAUAUUUGCUUACCAUCUUCCAAAUUUUGUAUUGACAUUCUUCACUUCUUGUAUUUUUCCAUAGUUCUCAUUACUCUGGGACUGUACUUGUUUUAUUCCUUUAUGGAUAUUUUACUGGGAUUUCGGGAGGGAACAGGGAUAACUAAGUAUAUAGAAUCCACAUCCAGGGCUAUCAAGAUAGGUACAGGGACCACUACCGUGGGGUCUUAUGGUUGGGGGAAAAAAUGGGGCCCAAUUCCAAAUAUAACAAGGAAAAUUAUAUAUAUUCAUAACUAGAAGCACUGCUGGUUACCAUGAUAUAAAUUAUGUAUAUAUAUUCAUUUAUUCAAUGACUUGUUGAGUAUCAUCAUAUGCCGGGGACUCCCCUAAGGCAUGUGAAAUGCGUCAGUGAUUUAUACAUUUAUACAUCAGUGGAAGUGUGUGCUUCGCAUGGAAAUAGAGCUCUGAGUUUGAAAAUGGAAAUAAUUAGGGUAGAGUAGAGAGAAUCAAGAGUAUGGGGGUGGAAUAUAUUAGAGAGGGUAUGCCUGAUUGAGAAUGCAAGAUUCAAGUCAAACUUAAAGGAGGUGAGGGAGUUGGUCUUGUGGCUAUGGAGGAAAGAACGUUCCAGGCAGAGAAAAUAGUAGAAAAGAUGGAAGCGUGUCUGUUAAGGAGACCCCGUGGCAGGAGCAGAUGGAAAGGGGUUAGAGAAAUUGGGAGGCAAGGGUAGAUCUUUUACAUUUAACCCUAUUUUAUAAAUCAAACAAAAACCCUGUGUGUGAGGGUAUGUAUAUUUAAGAAAUGACAUGACUCUUGGUAAAUUGGAAAGACAGACUUUAUUUAGGAUUUAAUGGGGUUUUAUAGUAGGGUAGAAAAAUUGGGUCCAACUUUGAUGUAUAGCCAAGGAACAGAGUGGGACUUGUAUGAACUGGGGUAGGUCAUUGGAUGGAAAAUUAUCAAAAAGGUAGGUGCCAUGUUUGAAUUUUUCCCUCCAAAGAGGGAACUAACUAUUUACUGGGAACUAAUCCCCAAAGCAAUAGUGUUGAGAGGUAACUGGGCCAUGAGCACUGGGUCAUUACUUUGGCAUUAUCGGCUCAGUGGCUUUUUUGUACUCUCCAUCAGAAGAAUCAGACAAAGGCACAACGGUGACAGGGACAAGACUCUACUGGGAAUUCUAGCUGGAGCAGAGGGGAAAUAGCAUUGACCAUAAAGUGACAGUCUGGCUCCCUGGACAAAGGAGAGAGCCUGUUUUAUUCAUGCGAAAGGGUUGCUUAUAGGGAUGAGCUAGGGUCUAGGAAUUUUGAUUGGCUUUGGGCACAUUUUCUAAGGUGUUUUCUUUGUGGAAGGGUGUUCAGUCUGAAGCCAAAUGUCACAGCUCUUCCUGUAUAUUCAUCUUUGCCUUGGGAUAAGGAUGAGUCUGCAGCUAUUAAGGAAACACAGGUGGGGAGCGGAAGAAAACACAAACCAUGCAAAUAACAGAUUAAGGGUCCAGAGAAUUGGCUGUUUCAGUGAUCCCUCAACAGUAUUACCCUUUAUGUUGUUUGUCCUUGCAGAGUCAAGGUGCAAGCAUCUGGUUUUAUGAUGCACCUGAUUUCUGGAGCAGUAAGACGAGUGAGAGAGUGAGGGACUAGGGAAAGGCACACACCACUCUCUCAUCAGCUAACAAGCUAAGAAAGCAUUUGCCCUUUUUGGGUGGGGGCUGCCUAUAUCUCAUUCACUCCUUGGGUGUUUUACUCCUUUAACCUUAAGGGAUGCUUCUUUUCAUGGGAGUGAGGUCCCUACAGAUAAUUGUUGUGGAUAAGUUAUCAAGGGGGUAGUUUCUUGAUAGAAAGAUGAGUUCAGGAACAGGGUGCCAUGGUACACACUUGUAAUCCCAGUGGCUCAGGAGGCUGAGGCAGGAGGAUCCCGAGUUCAAAGCCAGCCUUAGCAACUUAGCGAGGCCCUAGCACCUUGUUAAGACCCUGUCUCUAAAUAAAAUACAAAAAGGUGUUAUGUGGCUCAGUGGUUAAGUGCCCCUUGGUUCAAUCCCAGUACCAAAAAAAGAAAAAAAGAAAGAUGAGUUCAGGCCCCCUUCUUCCCUCUUUGGAGCACUCUCUCCCUAUGUGAUGCCUUCCAUCAUUGAAUGGUGGAGCGAAAAAACCCUCACCAGAUACAGCUCCUCAGUCUCACACUUCUCAGCUUCUAGAUCUGAAAUAAAUAAGAAAAAAAAUUUUUUUAUGAAUCACCUAGUCUGUGGUAUUCUAUUAUAGCAGCACAAAAUGGCCUAAUGAAACAGAGAGCUCCUGAAUUUCCUCAUGAUGAGAAUAAAAACCUCCUCAUGCUGAUGACAGAGGCCAAGGAAAGUAAAACUGUGUUAUAUUCUGUAGCUAAGCACAGUCUAGCUCAACCUAUAUAUGUAUAUCACCUAGCUUUUGCUUCUACAAAUUAUAACCUCUUCUGUGACAUCAGUGGAGAAGCAAUCUAGCUGCUUCUCCCCAGUUUCAUGAAAUUGCCUAAAGUUCAUUUCACUUUUGGCACUAUUUCUUAUGUGGGCAGGUGGGUGAAUCAGGCCAGCUGGGAUCUAGGCAGUGUCCCUGGGCGAGGCUGCCUGGUCAGUCCAGUCCAGUGGUUCUUUGCUGAACUGUGUUGGGUGCAGAGCAGGCUGAACUGUGUUGUCUGCAGGGCAGGCUGAACAAAUGUCGGCUGCAAGAUAGCCCACGCACUCAAACCCCCCUCUAUCUGGUCCUUUAUCACCUGUUUGCCUCAAGUCUGAACAUUCAACGCUGCUCAAGGCUGAACACUUAACCCCCCCUUGGGCCAACAAGGCAGCUUGCAGACCCAGAGGCCCCAUUAGAUUUGGGCUAUAAAAACUCCCUCCUGCCAGGCCCCCCUCUCUCUUGCUCUUUCUCUCUUGCUCUCUCUCUCUCUUGCUCUUUAUCUUUCUUACACACGCUCUCUGUCUCUCUCUUGCUCUUGCUCUCUCCCUGUUCAUCUCUUCUCUUUUCUCUCUCUCUCUCUUUCCUUCUUUCCUUUCUCUUUGUUGCACUGCUGCAAUAAAGAUUUUUUGGUUGCUCCGAGUGUUGUGGUCACUUUCCUUUCAAACUGACCUAACAAGAUUCUUGCUGAAGGCAGGCUAGGGUGAUUAGCUAUCACCUGGGGGAUGAAUAAUCUUAUCAGAUAUUCAGGAUGAACAGAUAUUGAGAGUGUGGCAUUCUGGCUACACUGAUUUAGCAGAAUUCUUGGUGAAAUCAGACAAGGCAAAGGACACAGAAGUCAUAAAGUGUAGGCAUCAUCUGAAAGAGGAUUCAGAGGAGUCUGACCAAAGUUUGGUCAAGAAGAGAUUGUCAGUGUGAAUAUAAAAGGAUAUGAAGAUUGGAAAUAGAAGUGGGCACAGUGGUGCAUGCCUGUAAUCCCAGGGGCUUGGGAGGCUGAGGUAGGAGAAUCAAGAGUUCAAAGUCAGCCUCAGCAAAGGCAAGGUGCUAAGCAACUCAGUGAGACCCUGUCUCUAAAUAAAAUACAAAAUAGGGCUGGGGAUGUGGCUCAGUGGUUGAGUGCUCCUGAGUUCAAUCCCGUGUACCUGCCCCCGCCCCCCCAAAAAAGAUUGGAAAUGGGUAUGGAAGGAGACAUAUAGAGAUUGUUGUUACAGAGCUGGGGCCUUUCAGGAAACUGAGGCAGCACAAAGACACUUCCCUCCCAAACCUGAUUCUUAUGAUCAAGUCAGAAAGAUUUCAGACAUGUUGUUCAAAGUAACAGGCAUGAGUCUAUCGAAGGGAUAGAAAAGGGAAAGGAGGACACUUUCAAGGGAGAAAAUGGGUCCUCUCAGAGGAGAGGGACUGUCUACUUCUCCUGCACUCCAGUUUUAUUGGGGUCCCAGAGAAGUUUCCAGAGAGUCCUGCCCAGGUCCACCUCUUGACUUUUGACUGACAAAAGGAUGACAUCAGACUUUCAAGUUCCCACUGCCAUGACAACUCUGACCCGGGGCCCCUGCUCACUGGUUCUAAUUGAAUUCAUAACCAUAAAUUCUUACAGAUUUUAUGGUUAGGAGGAAUUAUCCUUAUCUCCCUGAGUUUCAGGAACUGGUUCAUGAAAAAAGUCACAAAAGUUCCCCCUUUAGAGUAACUUGCAUUCUUCUUCUUGACAUUAUUUCGGGCCUGCAUUUCUCCUGCAGAUAACAGGUAGUUUACUGAAGAAUGUGACACAGCAUGUCCACUUAGGCAAGGUAGGGCUGCAGUUCAAUUGCUUCUUGGAAAAGAAAGCAUGAGAGUAGCACAGUGGGCUCAUUUUAUAGAAUUAUUGUCUUAAUCUUGUGUUCCCACUAUUUGCACCUAUGUCCCCUAACAUUGUUAUCAAAAUUCUUGUAUUUGUAAGGUCCAAACUCACAGCAGUACUCCAAAUAGCAAGGAUGUCUGUGAGCAAAGGUCUGACCUAAAUGUCACCCCCUCAGGAAGAUCCUCUCAUCCUAAUUAGAGUGGUACAUACAACCACUGAAACCAGAGUUUAGAGAUGAGACUAUAUCCCCUGCCUCACCAACUCCCUUUGGGUUCUUGUCUUGCAAAUUUUGAAGAAUAAAAUGCAUGGACAAUCAUGGAAGGGAAGAGUAAAUGGAGCAGAUUUAUUUAAGCAAGAAGAGAUAGAACUCCCGCCCUGUGGGAGGGGGCCUAAGAGCAGAAAAACCCAUUUUGGUGUGCCAGUUUAGGAGUUUAUAUAUGGUUCUGGGCAGAGGAGCAAAAACUGUUAAACAGGCACGGAGAAGGUAUCAGGGCGAUCAUUGUUCUUUCCAUUCAGUUCACCCCCACCUUCCCUCCAAUAACUUCAUCUGGGUUCACCCCGACCUUCCCUUUUCUACCUCUGGGACAAAGGAGUUGGCUGGAGGUAU